rnacentral:rRNA from 1 species
AGCGAACGCUGGCGGCAGGCCUAACACAUGCAAGUCGAGCGCCCCGCAAGGGGAGCGGCAGACGGGAGAGUAACACGUGGGAACGUACCCUUCAGUUCGGAACAACCCAGGGAAACUUGGGCUAAUACCGGAUACGUCCGUAAGGAGAGAGAUUUAUCGCUGAAGGAUCGGCCCGCGUCUGAUUAGCUAGUUGGUGGGGUAAUGGCCCAACAAGGCGACGAUCAGUAGCUGGUCUGAGAGGAUGAUCAGCCUCACUGGGACUGAGACACGGCCCAGACUCCUACGGGAGGCAGCAGUGGGGAAUAUUGGACAAUGGGCGCAAGCCUGAUCCAGCCAUGCCGCGUGGAUGAUGAAGGCCCUAGGGUUGUAAAGUCCUUUCGGCGGGGAAGAUAAUGACGGUACCCGCAGAGGAAGCCCCGGCUAACUUCGUGCCAGCCGCCGCCGUAA